GUCGAACGAGCGAGAGGAGGUUUACUUUCUCAAGCGAGUGGCGUACGGGUGAGCAUCGCGUGAGGAACCUGCCUCAAAGAGGGGGACAACAGUUGGAAACGACUGCUAAUACCGCAUAAGCCCACGACCCGGCAUCGGGUAGAGGGAAAAGGAGCAAUCCGCUUUGAGAUGGCCUCGCGUCCGAUUAGCUAGUUGGUGAGGUAAUGGCCCACCAAGGCGACGAUCGGUAGCCGGACUGAGAGGUUGAACGGCCACAUUGGGACUGAGACACGGCCCAGACUCCUACGGGAGGCAGCAGUGGGGAAUAUUGCACAAUGGGGGAAACCCUGAUGCAGCGACGCCGCGUGGAGGAAGAAGGUCUUCGGAUUGUAAACUCCUGUUGUUGAGGAAGAUAAUGACGGUACUCAACAAGGAAGUGACGGCUAACUACGUGCCAGCAGCCGCGGUAAAACGUAGGUCACAAGCGUUGUCCGGAAUUACUGGGUGUAAAGGGAGCGCAGGCGGGAAGACAAGUUGGAAGUGAAAUCCAUGGGCUCAACCCAUGAACUGCUUUCAAAACUGUUUUUCUUGAGUAGUGCAGAGGUAGGCGGAAUUCCCGGUGUAGCGGUGGAAUGCGUAGAUAUCGGGAGGAACACCAGUGGCGAAGGCGGCCUACUGGGCACCAACUGACGCUGAGGCUCGAAAGUGUGGGUAGCAAACAGGAUUAGAUACCCUGGUAGUCCACACUGUAAACGAUGAUUACUAGGUGUUGGAGGAUUGACCCCUUCAGUGCCGCAGUUAACACAAUAAGUAAUCCACCUGGGGAGUACGACCGCAAGGUU
rnacentral:rRNA from 1 species